GGACUUCAAUUGUUGGUUAUAGUCUAACCAAGAAGAGUCAAAUAGUCAAACUCCAAUAAGGAAAUACAGAAAUAAAGAAUUAUAAGCAUAUAGAGUGUAACACCGCAAUAUGACACAAAUAAGAGAAAAUGUUGGACCAGUUCAAAAUCACUAGCGAAACAACAAAAGUACGACACCCAACGAUGCCAGUGUAUCUCACCAGGGCCGGCCCUAUUGGAGUUCAACCGGUGCUUAAGAACAGGGCCCACCAAGACAUAAGGGCCCAAUUUUUUCCCUUUGUUAGUGUUAUGCUAACUUUACUGCUUACAUAUUGCUGGAACUAGAAGAAGAGGCCGACGCACACAAGCAGGAAAUCAAAAAAUCGAGGGGAAAACACGCUUCGAUUCUUGAACGCGUGCCUACUAUCGAAGGGUCUACAAUCAUCGACAGAAGUACUUCAGAGCCUAAGGGCAAAGGCAAGGCGUGAUGACGUGGCGUGCACUCUACCUCUCUUUUUGUGUGAUUGGGACUCUCUGAUGUUUUUAAAAAGUACAAUGAAUUUGUAAUAAUUAUGAAUUGGAAAACAAAUGGUUUGGAAACUUAUGGAUUAUGGGAUGUGCUUGAUUAAUUAAAAAUGAAAAAAAAAUCUUGGUAAGAAUUGGGUCAUUACAAGUUGAUAUCAGAGCCUUGGUUUGAGGGAUUCGGACACAUU